UACGUAGGGGGCUAGCGUUGUUCGGAAUUACUGGGCGUAAAGCGCGCGUAGGCGGUCUUCCAAGUCAGUGGUGAAAGCCCGGAGCUCAGCUCCGGAACUGCCAUUGAAACUGUUGGACUUGAGUACGAGAGAGGUGAGUGGAAUUCCCAGUGUAGAGGUGAAAUUCGUAGAUAUUGGGAAGAACACCGGUGGCGAAGGCGGCUCACUGGCUCGUAACUGACGCUCAGGCGCGACAGCGUGGGGAUCAAACAGG
rnacentral:rRNA from 1 species